AACGAACGCUGGCGGCAUGCCUAACACAUGCAAGUCGAACGAGACCUUCGGGUCUAGUGGCGCACGGGUGCGUAACGCGUGGGAACCUGCCCUUAGGUUCGGAAUAACUCCCCGAAAGGGGUGCUAAUACCGGAUAAUGUCUUCGGACCAAAGAUUUAUCGCCUUUGGAUGGGUCCGCGUUGGAUUAGCUAGUUGGUAGGGUAAAAGCCUACCAAGGCGACGAUCCAUAGCUGGUCUGAGAGGAUGAUCAGCCACACUGGGACUGAGACACGGCCCAGACUCCUACGGGAGGCAGCAGUGGGGGAUAUUGGACAAUGGGCGAAGGCCUGAUCCAGCAAUGCCGCGUGAGUGAUGAAGGCCUUAGGGUUGUAAAGCUCUUUUACCCGGGAUGAUAAUGACGGUACCGGGAGAAUAAGCACCGGCUAACUCCGUG
rnacentral:rRNA from 1 species